rnacentral:rRNA from 1 species
UUUUUUAUAAAAGUAAUUUAUUUAUUUAGAGUUUUAGUAUUUAGUAAAAAUUAAUUUAUAGAUUUAUAGUUUAAUAGUAUUGUAAAAGAAUUAAUUAAAUUUUUAAAAGAAUAUUUUUAGUACCUUUUGUAUCAGGGUUGAUUAAAAUUUUUAAUUUUUUUUUAAUUUCUCAAAAUUUAUAGAGUUAAUUUUAUUAUUAAUUUAUUGUGUUAUAAAUAUUUAAAAAAUAAUAUUAGUUUUGAAAUUUAAUUCGUUAUAUUAUAUUUAGUUAUUUAGAUUUAAAUUUAAUUUAAAAUUUUAAAAGUUAUAUUGAUUUUUUAUAUUAAUAUUUUAAAUUUAAAUUAUUUUAGGGAUAAGCUUGAAAUUUUUAUAUAAUAAUUUAUUUAUUUUAAUAAUUUAUAGGAAUAGAAAUUUUUAUUUAAGUUUGUAAAAAUUUAUUAUUUAUUUAUUUUUAAUUUAUUAUAAAUUUAUUUAUUUUUUAUAUUAAAUUUUAUUAAUUAAUAUUUAAUUAAUAGUAAUAAUGAUUAAAUUAGUAUAAUUUUUAUUUAUAAAUUAUGAAUUCGGCAAAAAUUAUUUUCAUCUGUUUAACAAAAACAUUGUAUUAAGUUUAAUUUAAUAUAGGAUCUGCUCAAUGAUUUAUUAAAUAGCUGCAGUAUUUUGACUGUGCAAAGGUAGCAUAAUAAUUAGUCUUUUAAUUGAGGACUUGUAUGAAAGAUUUGAUGAGAAAUAAACUUUAUUAUUUAUAUAAUUAAAAUUUUAUUUUUAAGUAAAAAAGCUUAAAUUAUUUAAAGGGACGAUAAGACCCUAUAAAACUUUAUAAAUAUUAAUUUUGAUUUUUUUGGAUUUAUAAAUAUUUUAAUUUUAUUAUUUAUUUUAUUGGGGUGAUAAAAAAAAUUAUUAAACUUUUUUUAAAAUUUUACAUUAUUUAAUGAGUAUUUGAAUUAAAAUUUUUAAUUAAAGGAAAAAGUUACUUUAGGGAUAACAGCGUAAUUAAUUUUUUAAGUUCAAAUUUAAAAAUUAGUUUGCGACCUCGAUGUUGAAUUAAGAUUAAUCUUAGGUGCAAAAUUUUAAGUAUUAGGUCUGUUCGACCUUUAAA